GGAGUCUGGUCCGUGUCUCAGUACCAGUGUGGGGGACCUUCCUCUCAGAACCCCUAAGGAUCGACGGCUCGGUGGGCCGUUACCCCGCCGACUACCUAAUCCUACGCAUCCCCAUCCCAUGCCGAUAAAAUCUUUCGUGCAAAUCUGAUGCCAUCUUCGCACAACAUAGGGCAUUAAUCCGUCUUUCAACGGGCUGUUCCCUGGCAGGGGGAAGGUUGGAUACGCGUUACGCACCCGUGCGCCGGUCGCCAUCUAUCAAAGCAAGCUUCGAUAAUGAUGCCCCUCGACUUGCAUGUGUUAAGCCUGUAGCUAGCGUUCAUC
rnacentral:rRNA from 1 species